rnacentral:rRNA from 1 species
UACGUAGGGGGCAAGCGUUGUCCGGAUUUAUUGGGCGUAAAGAGCGUGUAGGCGGCCAGACAGGUCCGUUGUGAAAACUCGAGGCUCAACCUCGAGACGUCGAUGGAAACCGUCUGGCUAGAGUCCGGAAGAGGAGAGUGGAAUUCCUGGUGUAGCGGUGAAAUGCGCAGAUAUCAGGAAGAACACCCGUGGCGAAGGCGGCUCUCUGGGACGGUACUGACGCUGAGGAGCGAAAGCGUGGGGAGCGAACAGG